GAUGAAGAACGUAGCGAAAUGCGAUAAGUAAUGUGAAUUGCAGAAUUCAGUGAAUCAUCGAAUCUUUGAACGCACAUUGCGCCCAUUAGUAUUCUAGUGGGCAUGCCUGUUCGAGCGUCAUUAAGUCCACUUAAGCCCUGCUUAGUGUUGGGAGACUGCUCCAGCGGUGCUACCCUGUAGCUACCCUGCAGCUCCUCAAAGACAGCGGCGGAGUUGUGGUAUCCUCUGAGCUUAGUAACUUGUUCUAGCUUUCGAGUACACCACUUCCCCUGCCGUAAAACCCUUAAUUUUUAAUGGUUGACCUCGGAUCAAGUAGGAAUACCCGCUGAACUUAAGCAUAUCAAUAAGCGGAGGA
rnacentral:misc_RNA from 1 species